GGUGUCUCUUCAAGCUGAGGGGUCACCCACCACCUACCCCAUCUUGGUGGUGCCUCCAGGAGUCAACAGCCCCCAAACCCCCAUCCUUUUUGGUGUUUCCUCCAGGGAUUGAAGGGCCAUUGCUCUAGGGCAGCUGUGACCAUGGCCGAGAACAUGAUGGCGCAGGCGCACCGCCACCACACAUACACCGAGCUGCUGGCCAUUGCACAACACUUCCAAGCAGAAGCCCAACGAGCACGUGAUCGCCUGGAUCCUGCGGGUGUAUGGCCAAGGCGGCAUGGCCCUGGUCCUGAGUUCCCAGGAACUUGACCAGCGACCUGACCAGCAACACCAUCUUCAACUGCCUCUGCAGGGAUCGGUGGGUCGGCCGCAAGGCACUGCUCGCCUGGCUGCUGAAGGCCUGGCGCCAGCGCUGGCAGUCCUUCCUGCACUUCGAGGUCACCGAGAGGGCCUUCGGAGUCACCGUGGAGCAGGGUAUCCAGCUGCACGCCAGCUGAGCAUGCUGGAGUGGAUCUACCAUGAGCCUGCAUUUGAGCAGGCACCAUGUCCUGUGCCUGAGGACAUGCCCUUCACAAAGGGCUUGCAUCAGCGCCUGGUGGCACUGGCCAGGUGCUCCGAGAUGCAGCUGCCGCUGGUCGCCCUGCCAGGCAAUGACAUGACGGUGAUGGAGGUCCAGGGCAGAGACCAGCUCAGGGACCACCUGUCCUAGCUCCUGAGCCACGGCAUGUCCCAGGAGAGGGUGGACAAGGAGGGUGAUGCUCCACGUCAAGGAGGCCACACGUAGCCGCAGGCUCCCGGAUUACAUGCUGGAGUAGGAGCAGCCCCCGCCUCCCCCUUACUCUAUCCAGGCCUGCGGGUAGGAGCCAAUGGCUCCUUACCUGCCUGUGGGCCCUGCCUAGGAGCCUUAAUUUCCAGGGCUCAGGGAGCUGGGCUCUUGGGAAGAUGUAAAGUCCCCUGAGGGACCGGACCGCCCAUCUGUUCUGUUUUUAAGAUGUAAGGGUUGAGCAUAUAUAUAUGUAUGUAUGUAUAUAGAUUUCAGAGAGGAAGGGGGAGAGAAACAUCAAUGAUGAGAAUCACUGAUUGGCUGCCUCCUGCACACCCGCUACUGGAGAUGGAGCCUGCAAGCCGAGCAAGUGCCCUUGAUCACAAUCGAACCAGGGACCUUUCAGUCCGAAGACCAAUGCUCUAUCCACUGAGCCAAGCUGGCUAAGGCUGUUGAGUUUUUUAUGGGCAGGCCACCCUCACCUAGGUUUUGAGGAGCCCAGAAAAAUAAGGUGUCCUUGCCCCUAGCUACUUCAUGGGUGUCACUGGCCAGAGCUGGUGGAGGGGAGCUAGCUAGCUGGGCAUAGUGGUUCCAUAGAGAACCCAGCAGGUGUCUUACAUUUAAGCUGAAAUGGCAUAUUGGGUGGGCCCCCAAAGCACUAUAGGCCCAGCGGGGAGGCCCCGUGACCUACAACAUGAAGCUUGCACUGUUUUUAUUUGUAAUGCAUUGUUUUCACUUAAUAUUUAAGCAUAUACAGCACUUCAGUUCUAAGCGCA